rnacentral:rRNA from 1 species
CGUAGGGUGCGAGCGUUAAUCGGAAUUACUGGGCGUAAAGCGUGCGCAGGCGGUUGUGCAAGACAGAUGUGAAAUCCCCGGGCUUAACCUGGGAAUUGCAUUUGUGACUGCACGGCUAGAGUGUGUCAGAGGGGGGUAGAAUUCCACGUGUAGCAGUGAAAUGCGUAGAUAUGUGGAGGAAUACCGAUGGCGAAGGCAGCCCCCUGGGAUAACACUGACGCUCAUGCACGAAAGCGUGGGGAGCAAACAGGAUUAGAUACCCUGGUAGUCCACGCCCUAAACGAUGUCAACUAGUUGUCGGGUCUUAAUUGACUUGGUAACGCAGCUAACGCGUGAAGUUGACCGCCUGGGGAGUACGGUCGCAAGAUUA